rnacentral:rRNA from 1 species
UGACUCUCGGUAAUGGAUAUCUUGGCUCUCGCAUCGAUGAAGGACGUAGCGAAAUGCGAUACUUGGUGUGAAUUGCAGAAUCUCGUGAACCAUCGAGUCUUUGAACGCAAGUUGCGCCUGAGGUUAUUUGGCUAAGGGCAUGCCUGCUUGGGCAUCAUGUCUUGAGAUGCUUUGUUCU